ensembl:lncRNA
AACAACACUUAGCAGCACUUGCAAAGAAAUCUUGUGCAGUAGUAGCAAAGGGAAACAGCAAUAUUUAGUCUGACAAGCUUUAACUCCAGUCACUGCCAGCCCAUUUUCAAAGGAAAAAAUUGCAGUCUGACUCAGGAUAAAUAUUAUAUGGACUGCUUUGUGGUAAAUCAUUCAUAAAGAAAGGUAGACUGUUCACCAAGAUUAUCUUUCUGAUUCAAAUGUAGCAAAAUGUUAGAUUUUACUUGGGCUCAUUUGUUUUCCUGAAAGACAUUUGAAUAAGCAAAAACCUGUAGAUCUCUCUCUUCUGGUUCCUUUGUUGAGGCAAUAGCUACCACACACAAAGGGACUGUAUAGGCAGGAUAAAGGCAGCUUUAAUACCCUGCACAGUUCCCAACAGCUGGAUGUAGUGUGCAGCUCUGCCAACAAGUCUGUGUAAGCCCAGCAGCACAAAUGAGGUGGUGACACACCAGCAACAACUGCUCUUCGGAAUGUACUCACCAUCAGUUUACUGGAAACAUCUUCCAGCUCCACUGGUCUCCCUUUAGUUUUUGGAUACCUUCCUAGAGCCUUUCUAUUUAACCCCUGAAUCCCUGAACUGCAGACAGUCUUACAUUGACUCACUUACUUUUGCUUGCAGUUUUACUUUUCUUAUCUCACUGGGUUUCCAUCCAUAUAUUUUCUUACAGUUUCCUCAGCAGGAAUGCAGCUUUCCCAGAUGUUUGUGUUGAGUUUACACAGUUAUGCCAGGUCAUUGCUUGGCUGUGGAUCAGGGAGCAUUGAUCAUUCAGAAGGGAGGUUGCCAAUCUGACAGGUGACAGAUCUGCCAGCUCUUCCCAGAAAGAGACUGAGAACCGACAGGAGGAAAUCGAAUGCACUUUAAAUCUGAAAUCUGUCAUCAGAGUAGCAGUCUUCACAAACUCAACUUUUCAAAGAAGGAAAUUUUCAGAUUCUAACUUCUUAUUGGAAAGCUGCUGGAGACCUUUUCUUGCUAUGCUGUUAUUUGGAGUGAAUAAAGAAUCUUUUCUACUUUCAGCUCAGUAUCAAGGCUGGUUCUGUGGCAGGAUGUGCAGACCGCUGGGCUGCUUUCUCUGCAGAAGUGCAAGGGGAGAUGGAGGCCAUCCGCAUAAAGGGGACUGCACACAAUACCCUUGGUGCCCACCAUGAGGUGAAGACUCAACCAGACCCUAC